CAUAACUACAAUUUCUCAUGUGUCAACUGUGGAGACCACCCAGCUGUAGUGAUUAUGGAUUUGCACAAGAAGGGUGUGUUCAGUAUGCCAGUGAGUGAUGUUGCGGAUCCACCAUCUGACUUUGAUGGUCGUGUUGACCUAGAGGAAUUCUGGCGGUCUGUAUCUGAGGAAAUAGUGUGUCGCGGGUUUUUAAAAAAGCAACAGUAACAAUCCAUUUCGUGUUGUACCAUCUUAUGCGAAAUGGGCUCCGUGGAUUGGCCCUCGGACCAGGGACAGUGCUUUGGUGCUCAACACAAGAGUAUGCUAAAAUCAAAGCCUCAAAGCCUAAUGAAAGCCAAGCAGACAUUGACGUACCAGAAGAACGUCUUUCAGAUGAGUUGAUGAAGUUGAAGGUGGAAGAUUUGCGCAAACUUGUGAAGGACUGUGGCAUGGAUAGCAAGGGCUCCAAAAUGGACCUUCUUCUCUGUCUGAGGGAGGAGAUGCAAACGAGGAGCACCUAUGACAAGGUCUUUGAAAAAGUCUGGGGAGCAUCUGGUGGUUGGGCGGUCAUCAUGUGUCCCUGUGGAGUGGUGAAUUCCGUGAAAUUCAACCUUAGGGCUGAAAGCCCGCGUGACAAUGCCGACA